rnacentral:rRNA from 1 species
GGACCUCACUGCUAUCGGGGUGGGACUAAAACAUGCAAGUCGAGCGCCUCCAAGCUGUGGUGAAGGCGCGGCAUACGGCUCAGUAACACGUGGCCAACCUACCCUUGGGACGGAGACAACCCCGGGAAACUGGGGCUAAUCCCCGAUAGGUAAGGAAUCCUGGAAUGGAUCUUUGCUGAAAGGGCGUCUAGACCAUGCUUCUUGACGUCGCCCAAGGAUGGAGCCGCGACCGAUCAGGCUGUUGGCGAGGCAACGGCUCACCAAACCUAUAACCGGUACGGGCCGUGAGAGCGGGAGCCCGGAGAUGGGCACUGAGACAAGGGCCCAGGCCCUACGGGGCGCAGCAGUUGCGAAAACUCCGCAAUAUGCGAAAGCGUGACGGGGCUACCCCGAGUGCCGCCCGCUGAGGGCGGCUUUUCCACGGUGUAAGGAGCCGUGGGAAUAAGGAGAGGGCAAGACUGGUGUCAGCCGCCGCGGUAAUACCAGCUCUCCGAGUGGUGAGGACGAUUAUUGGGCUUAAAGCGUACGUAGCCGGCUCAACAAGUCUUCCGUUAAAUCCAACGAUCUAAUCGUUGGGCCGCGGGAGAUACUGCUGGGCUAGGAGGCGGGAGAAGCCGACGGUAUUCUCGGGGGAGGGGUGAAAUCCUGUAAUCCCGGGAGGACCACCAGUGGCGAANGCGGUCGGCUAGAACGCGCUCGACGGUGAGGGACGAANGCUGGGGGAGCGAACCGGAUUAGAAACCCGGGUAGUCCCAGCUGUAAACG